GUCGAACGAACCGCGACUGAGUGCUUGCACUUGGUCAAGGUGAGUGGCGAACGGGUGAGUAACACGUGGGUAACCUACCUCAUAGUGGGGGAUAACAGUCGGAAACGACUGCUAAUACCGCAUAGGACAUAGGAUCACAUGAUCCAGUGAGGAAAGGUGGCGCAAGCUAUCGCUAAGAGAUGGACCCGCGGUGCAUUAGCUAGUUGGUAGGGUAACGGCCUACCAAGGCGAUGAUGCAUAGCCGACCUGAGAGGGUGAUCGGCCACAUUGGGACUGAGACACGGCCCAAACUCCUACGGGAGGCAGCAGUAGGGAAUCUUCCGCAAUGGACGCAAGUCUGACGGAGCAACGCCGCGUGAGUGAAGAAGGUCUUCGGAUCGUAAAGCUCUGUUGUUAGAGAAGAACAGCGCAUAGAGUAACUGUUAUGCGUGUGACGGUAUCUAACCAGAAAGCCACGGCUAACUACGUGCCAGCAGCCGCGGUAAUACGUAGGUGGCGAGCGUUGUCCGGAUUUAUUGGGCGUAAAGGGAGUGUAGGCGGUCUUUUAAGUCUGAUGUGAAAGCCCACGGCUUAACCGUGGAGGGUCAUUGGAAACUGGGAGACUUGAGUGCAGAAGAGGAGAGCGGAAUUCCAUGUGUAGCGGUGAAAUGCGUAGAUAUAUGGAGGAACACCAGUGGCGAAGGCGGCUCUCUGGUCUGUAACUGACGCUGAGGCUCGAAAGCGUGGGGAGCAAACAGAUUAAGAUACCCUGGUAGUCACACGCCGUAAACGAUGAGUGCUAAGUGUUGGAGGGGUUCCACCCUUCAGUUGCUGGAGUUAACGCAAUAAGCACUCCGC
rnacentral:rRNA from 1 species